ACACGCGUAUCCGAAGGACUCUCGGCAACGGAUAUCUCGGCUCUUGCAUCGAUGAAGAACGUAGCGAAAUGCGAUACUUGGUGUGAAUUGCAGAAUCCCGUGAACCAUCGAGUCUUUGAACGCAAGUUGCGCCCGAAGCCAUUAGGCCGAGGGCACGCC
rnacentral:rRNA from 1 species